GGUUUCAUGGCGCAGUUGGUUAGCGCGUCUCCUUAACACUUCUGAUUCCCCUAUAAUUGCUAGUGCUUACGGAGGAGGUCGCCGGUUCGAACCCGGCUGAAAUCA
rfam:Tstilago hordei, Th4857-4, WGS project CAGI01000000 data, contig: THOR_scaffold_5.00012